rnacentral:rRNA from 1 species
AUGAACGCUGGCGGCGUGCCUAAUCCAUGCCAGUCGAGCGAACAGACGAGGAGCUUGCUCCUCUGACGUUAGCGGCGGACGGGUGAGUAACACGUGGAUAACCUACCUAUAAGACUGGGAUAACUUCGGGAAACCGGAGCUAAUACCGGAUAAUAUAUUGCACCGCAUGGUUCAAUAGUGAAAGACGGUUUUGCUGUCACUUAUAGAUGGAUCCGCGCCGCAUUAGCUAGUUGGUAAGGUAACGGCUUACCAAGGCAACGAUGCGUAGCCGACCUGAGAGGGUGAUCGGCCACACUGGAACUGAGACACGGUCCAGACUCCUACGGGAGGCAGCAGUAGGGAAUCUUCCGCAAUGGGCGAAAGCCUGACGGAGCAACGCCGCGUGAGUGAUGAAGGUCUUCGGAUCGUAAAACUCUGUUAUUAGGGAAGAACAAAUGUGUAAGUAACUAUGCACGUCUUGACGGUACCUAAUCAGAAAGCCACGGCUAACUACGUG